CUUUGGGAUGUGGAGUGGAAACCACACAGCCCAAGCAGCUUCAGGGCUUCCUGCUGCCCUGGAUCACACAGCUUGGCCUGAUCAGGGUGAUGAACAGGACUAGGUCUGCUUCCCAAUCCAUCCCAAUCCAUCUCCAAGCAUGAAG
rnacentral:lncRNA from 12 species